rnacentral:rRNA from 1 species
AUUGAACGCUGGCGGCAUGAUUUACACAUGCAAGUCGAACGGUAACAGGCCGCAAGGUGCCGACGAGUGGCGAACGGGUGAGUAAUGCAUCGGGACGUGCCCAGUCGUGGGGGAUAACUACUCGAAAGAGUAGCUAAUACCGCAUACGAUCUAUGGAUGAAAGCGGGGGACCGUAAGGCCUCGCGCGAUUGGAGCGGCCGAUGUCAGAUUAGGUAGUUGGUGGGGUAAAGGCUCACCAAGCCAACGAUCUGUAGCUGGUCUGAGAGGACGACCAGCCACACUGGGACUGAGACACGGCCCAGACUCCUACGGGAGGCAGCAGUGGGGAAUUUUGGACAAUGGGCGCAAGCCUGAUCCAGCAAUGCCGCGUGCAGGAAGAAGGCCUUCGGGUUGUAAACUGCUUUUGUACGGAACGAAACGGCUCUGGUUAAUACCCGGGGCUAAUGACGGUACCGUAAGAAUAAGCACCGGCUAACUACGUG